rnacentral:rRNA from 1 species
UACGGGGGGAGCAAGCGUUGUUCGGAUUUACUGGGCGUAAAGGGCGCGUAGGCGGUCACGACAAGUCAGUUGUGAAAUCUCCGGGCUUAACUCGGAACGGUCAACUGAUACUGUCGGACUAGAGUGCAGAAGGGGCAACUGGAAUUCUCGGUGUAGCGGUGAAAUGCGUAGAUAUCAGGAGGAACACCAAUUGCGAAGGCAGCUCGCUGGGACGUUACUGACGCUGAGACGCGAAAGCGUGGGGAGCAAACAGG